AGUAAUAUGAAGGAAAGCGUCAAGGAUUAUUUGAAUAUGAAGGCCAAUAGAAAAAUGAUACAGCAAAAAGUUCAAGAAAGUACUGGUGCCAAUGUAGCUGUUUUGCGAGACGAAGACAAUAAUUU
rnacentral:lncRNA from 1 species